UCGGGAAUAUUGCGCAAUGGAGGAAACUCUGACGCAGUGACGCCGCGUAUAGGAAGAAGGUUUUCGGAUUGUAAACUAUUGUCGUUAGGGAAGAAAAAAUGACAGUACCUAAGGAGGAAGCUCCGGCUAACUACGUGCCAGCAGCCGCGGUAAUACGUAGGGAGCAAGCGUUAUCCGGAUUUAUUGGGUGUAAAGGGUGCGUAGACGGGCGAUCAAGUUAGUUGUGAAAUCCCUCGGCUCAACUGAGGAACUGCAACUAAAACUGGUUGUCUUGAGUGCAGGAGAGGUAAGUGGAAUUCCUAGUGUAGCGGUGAAAUGCGUAGAUAUUAGGAGGAACACCAGUGGCGAAGGCGACUUACUGGACUGUAACUGACGUUGAGGCACGAAAGUGUGGGGAGCAAGCAGGAUUAGAUACC
rnacentral:rRNA from 1 species